AGGGUUAGGUCUGGGGCUAGGAUAAGGGUUUCUUAGGAUCCAAGAUGCUCCUCGACCUCUUCGGCGGUGGAGGUGGCGGUGUUGGUCAUCGGAGGGCUUAAACAAGGGAUGUGCAUGUUCAUUGUUGGUUCGGCAAUGAGGAUGUUGGAAGAAAUGAGAGAUAUGGUUCUCUUAGCUUAUGCCAAAGUCUUGGCUGCUGUACUCCGAUCAAGCUUGGCUGUAAUGCUGGUAAGAAUGGUUAUCAACAAGUUUGGUAUACCAGCUAUUCACAAUUCACAGUAUGAUGAAAGCCAAAUCGCUGAUCAUGUUCUACAUUGUUAAUUACACAAAGCCACUGAGGUGUAAAGGUUGGGAAAUGGCUCUUUUAGAGUACACAAUAGCCAUGCUUACAGAUUCUGCAUUGAAAUCAAAGCCACCACUAACUAGAAGACUUGCUGAGAUCUCAUGCCCUUCAAUUAGGGUUAAGAGAGCUUAGAGUGAGUGUGAAUGAGGGAGCUUUCAUUCUCACCUGGCAAGGUUUUGGAUUUCUCAUCCUCAUCGAAGGCAUCGCCUUAGCUG